UCCCAGGACCCUGGGAUCAUGACCUGAGCUGGAGGCAGACGCCCAAGCAACUGAGCCACCCAGGUGCCCCACUCUGGAAUCAUUUAAAGAGGACCCCAAGUGCUAGGCUGUUUGUCUCAUCAAACCACAAGACUUACCCCUAAAGAGAGAGCAAUAUGCAAAAUUACCUGUGGGCCAUGAUUGCAACACCAGCUAGCUGCGGAUGGGAAGGUGUGCGGAAACUAGUGAUGUUCCCCUGUAGAGGGAUGUUUUUCUCGGUUUCUAUGAACUUCUACUUUAUAUUACGUGUUUUCCACAGUGACCGUGUGUGACGCCUCAGGGAAAAAAUGCGCAGGAAAUAAGACUAGAAGACAGAAGGUUGGGAAGGUUCUGGAAUCCCGGCUAAUUUUUUUUCCUUUUCUCUUAUUUUCCAACUUUUGUAUAAUAUGCUUAUUAUAUUACUUUGUCAUUUAAAAAACUUUUUUAUUUUUAUUAUUA